ensembl:lncRNA
AGAGGGCUGGAGAAAUGGGAGGGUCUUUGGGGUGCGGGAGGGCUGGGCCCAGCACAGGGGGCUGCAUGCGAGGCCAGGGGAGGAGGAUCGUCGGCUAGGGAUGUGCAGGGACCCUGGAGGUCACCUGGCCCUUGCUUUUCUGCCAAAGAGCAGGGGGCAGCCAUCCCCGGGCCGCCGUCUGGGUUCACAAAGGCCAGGUAGGGAAGAGCUAGACAGCCCCGGGGGCCCAGCUUUCUGGCCUUUCUCUCCUCUUCUUGGUGUCCCUUCCUUCCUCCUCAAGUGCUUUCUCCCGGACGGCCUCUCCUUGGCAAGAAGGGCCCCGGUCUCCCCAGCCUCUCCGUCUCUCUCCCUCCGAAGGUCUCUGUUUUUUCUCUCUCCGUCUCCCCGACUCCCUCCCUCCCUCCCGGGCAGGUCCCCCCACUCUUAGCUGCUCUUCUGGGAUAGGUGUUCGGAGCGCGGGACCCUGCGAUUGGCCGUGGGGCUGUGGAGGGGGGCGGUCUCUUCACAGCUCUCCCGGGUCCGGAUUGGGCACCGUGAAGCGAGGGGCGUGUUGGGGGCGGGCCUGGGGCCGCCUGCGGGAGGGGCGGCCGAGGCCAGGGCCGAGAGCUCCGGGCGGUCGCAUUGUUUUCCUCCGCGGAGCCGCGAUCAGAGUAGGCUCUGCGGCUCGGACCUCGGACUCACGAGACACGGUAGCCCGCCCGGAGCCCCCAGCUCCGGGCUGCCGGCCCCCUCCUCCCAAACCGAGACCCUCUCCCUGUCCCCCGAGAUACCCCUCCCGGACCCCCAAAACCGGGACCCCUGGGAUCCCCGAGCCCCGGACUCUCGAGCCCGCGGCCGCCGCCUCCACCCCACGGACCUGGCUUCCAGGAGGCAGCCCGAUGAGGAGGGGAAGAAGAUGAGGUUGUCCAGCCCUUCCUCCCAUUCCAGCUCUCUCUCUUCCUACUGUCCCCACAGGUGGUACUUCCCCCUCAAAGGCAAAUAUACUGGGUGAGGGGAGCCAAAGAGAGGAGGAAGGGAGGGGGUCUGGAGAAACAGCUGCAACCAGAACUAAAUAUAGCCUUCAAUUUGGCUUCGAUGCAGAUUCAUUUUUGGCUAAGAUGGUCCUCUGUCCCGUUCUGAACCUUUAGUCCUGGGGAGUCCUGCCUGGAUCAGGGCAGCAACCCCCAACAUCCCAUAUCUCUCACUGAGUGAACAGCCACGGGUAUACCUGAAUAUCACAAUGUUCUUUUCCAGACCUAGGAUGAGAGAUAGUCACAGUAUAUCCCUCACACAUUUACACUGGGCUGCCAGGGAGGCUGUACUGAGGAAGGUCUGUAAGGGGAGGGCAAGAGUAGACUGCUUCAUCUCCCUCAAAUGGUCCUCAGGAACUACUAUUUAUAAUGUGAGGCUUCAACACCUUCUUCCCCACCUCCCCAGCAUCUAAUUAUAACAGGGAAGGUUUGGUGGAGGGAGGUGGGGGGAUGAGGAGAAUCAACCAGAGAAAGUCAGGGGACCAAGAGAGAGGAACUGAGGGGGAGGGGAUAUGCCCUGACCUUACCUGAGGUCAUAACUUGGGUCUGUCUUUCCCUGCCAAAGCUGGUUUGUUCCUGUUAGGGUAGAUGGAACUUGAGUGACAGUGACAGGCACAGUUGGGACAGGUGUAGGGAAAGAUCCCCUCCCAUCUCUAGGGUCCCCUGGGGAUAGACCAGGGGAGGAGCUGUGUCCACAUCCCUGCUUGAGAAGACCAAAAUACAGAAAAGAAACAACCCUUGGCUCUAAAUCUCCCAGUAAGUCUAGGCUUCCAGCCCCCUCCCCUCAGCCUU